rnacentral:rRNA from 1 species
GACGAACGCUGGAGGCGUGCUUAACACAUGCAAGUCGAACGAUGAAAUGGAGCUUGCUCCAUGGAUUAGUGGCGAACGGGUGAGUAACACGUGAAUAACCUGCCCUUAAUUUUGGAAUAACCCAGGGAAACCUGGGCUAAUACCGGAUAAGUAAACCUGUGGCAUCACAUGGUUUUGGAAAGUUUUUCGAUUAAGGAUGGAUUCGCGGCCUAUCAGCUUGUUGGUGAGGUAAUGGCUCACCAAGGCGACGACGGGUAGCCGGCCUGAGAGGGUGAACGGCCACACUGGGACUGAGACACGGCCCAGACUCCUACGGGAGGCAGAAGUGGGGAAUAUUGCGCAAUGGACGAAAGUCUGACGCAGCGACGCCUCGUGAGGGACGAAGGUCUUCGGAUUGUAAACCCCUUUCAGCAGGGACGAAGCGAAAGUGACGGUACCUGCAGAAGAAGCACCGGCUAACUAUGUGCCAGCCGCCGCCGUAA